rnacentral:rRNA from 1 species
GGCUGAAAUUCGCCUUCAUGAAGCUGGAAUUGCUAGUAAUGGCAGGUCAGCAUACUGCCGUGAAUACGUUCCCGGGCCUUGUACACACCGCCCGUCACACCAUGAGAGUUGGGAAUACCCGAAGCCUGUGAGCUAACUGUAAGGAGGCAGCAGUCGAAGGUAGAAUCAAUGAUCGGGGUGAAGUCGUAACAAGGUAGC